rnacentral:misc_RNA from 1 species
AGAGACGUUGGCCCUCGGGGUAUACCUCCCACCCCUUUGUUUAUUAUACCUUUGUUGCUUUGGCGGGCCCGAUCCCUCGGACCACCGGCUUCUGCUGGUCAGUGCCCGCCAGAGGACCUAAAACUCUGUGUUGUUAAUAUCUGUCUGAGUACUAUAUAAUAGUGU